UACGUAGGGUGCAAGCGUUGUCCGGAAUUAUUGGGCGUAAAGAGCUCGUAGGCGGUCUGUCGCGUCGGCUGUGAAAACCCGCGGCUCAACUGCGGGCCUGCAGCCGAUACGGGCAGGCUAGAGUUCGGUAGGGGAGACUGGAAUUCCUGGUGUAGCGGUGAAAUGCGCAGAUAUCAGGAGGAACACCGGUGGCGAAGGCGGGUCUCUGGGCCGAUACUGACGCUGAGACGCGAAAGCGUGGGGAGCGAACAGG
rnacentral:rRNA from 1 species